UACAGAGGGUGCAAGCGUUAAUCGGAAUUACUGGGCGUAAAGCGCGCGUAGGUGGUUCGUUAAGUUGGAUGUGAAAUCCCCGGGCUCAACCUGGGAACUGCAUCCAAAACUGGCGAGCUAGAGUACGGUAGAGGGUGGUGGAAUUUCCUGUGUAGCGGUGAAAUGCGUAGAUAUAGGAAGGAACACCAGUGGCGAAGGCGACCACCUGGACUGAUACUGACACUGAGGUGCGAAAGCGUGGGGAGCGAACAGG
rnacentral:rRNA from 1 species